CAGUAGCCGCGGUAAUACGAAGGGGGCUAGCGUUGCUCGGAAUGACUGGGCGUAAAGGGCGCGUAGGCGGUUUGUACAGUUGGAUGUGAAAUUCCUGGGCUUAACCUGGGGGCUGCAUUCAAUACGUGCAGGCUUGAGUGGGGAAGAGGGUCGUGGAAUUCCCAGUGUAGAGGUGAAAUUCGUAGAUAUUGGGAAGAACACCGGUGGCGAAGGCGGCGACCUGGUCCUUUACUGACGCUGAGGCGCGAAAGCGUGGGGAGCAAACAGGAUUAGAUACCCCGGUAGUCCCUGUCUCUUAUAA
rnacentral:rRNA from 1 species